rnacentral:rRNA from 1 species
UGGGGAAUAUUGCACAAUGGGCGCAAGCCUGAUGCAGCCAUGCCGCGUGUAUGAAGAAGGCCUUCGGGUUGUAAAGUACUUUCAGCGAGGAGGAAGGCAUAAAGGUUAAUAACCUUUGUGAUUGACGUUACUCGCAGAAGAAGCACCGGCUAACUCCGUGCCAGCAGCCGCGGUAAUACGGAGGGUGCGAGCGUUAAUCGGAAUUACUGGGCGUAAAGCGCACGCAGGCGGUCUGUUAAGUCAGAUGUGAAAUCCCCGGGCUCAACCUGGGAACUGCAUUUGAAACUGGCAGGCUUGAGUCUUGUAGAGGGGGGUAGAAUUCCAGGUGUAGCGGUGAAAUGCGUAGAGAUCUGGAGGAAUACCGGUGGCGAAGGCGGCCCCCUGGACAAAGACUGACGCUCAGGUGCGAAAGCGUGGGGAGCAAACAGGAUUAGAUACCCUGGUAGUCCACGCCGUAAACGAUGUCGACUUGGAGGUUGUGCCCUUGAGGCGUGGCUUCCGGAGCUAACGCGUUAAGUCGACCGCCUGGGGAGUACGGCCGCAAGGUUAAAACUCAAAUGAAUUGGCGGGGGCCCGCACAAGCGGUGGAGCAUGUGGUUUAAUUCGAUGC